GAUGAACGCUGGCGGCGUGCCUAAUACAUGCAAGUCGAACGGAGAAACGAGUAGCUGGAUCCGCGGACGUGAGCGGCGGGCGUGUGAAUAACACGUGGAUAACCUACCUAUAAGACUGGUAUGAAUUCGGGAAGCCGUAUCUAAUACCAUAUAAUCUAUUGAACCGCAUGGUUCUAGAGGAAAAGACUGUUUGUCUUUCACUGAUAGGUGGCUCCUCACCGCAUUAGCUAGUUGGUAAGGUAACGGCUUACCAAGGCAACGAUGCGUAGCCGACCUGAGAGGGUGAUAGGCCACCCGGGAAAUUAGACAGGGACACGAGUCCUAGGGGAGGCCGCAGACGGGAACGUUCAGCAAUGGGCGAAAGCAUGACGGAGUAACGCAGAGCGAGUGAUGACGGCACUGGGAUCGUAAAAACCUGCUACUAGGGAAGAACAUCUGUGUAAGGAAAUAUGCACGUAUUGACGGUACCUACUGAGAAAGCACCGGCUAACUACGUG
rnacentral:rRNA from 1 species